rnacentral:snRNA from 1 species
CCGGAAGCCGGGUUACGG